rnacentral:rRNA from 1 species
GACGAACGCUGGCGGCGUGCUUAACACAUGCAAGUCGAACGGAAAGGCCCUGCUUUUGUGGGGUGCUCGAGUGGCGAACGGGUGAGUAACACGUGAGUAACCUGCCCUUGACUUUGGGAUAACUUCAGGAAACUGGGGCUAAUACCGGAUAGGAGCUCCUGCUGCAUGGUGGGGGAUGGAAAGUUUCGGCGGUUGGGGAUGGACUCGCGGCGUAUGAGCUUGUUGGUAGGGUAGUGGCUUACCAAGGCUUUGACGGGUAGCCGGCCUGAGCGGGUGAUCGGCCACAUUGGAACUGAGACACGGUCCAGACUCCUACGGGAGGCAGCAGUAGGGAAUUUUAGGCAAUGGGCGGAAGCCUGACGCAGCAAUGCCGCGUGCGUGAUGAAGGCCUUCGGUUCGUAAAGUUCUGUUAUGCGGGACGAACCGAUUUGGAUUUAUACCUGGAGGUAGUGACGGUACCGGAUAAAAAAGCACCGGCUAACUACGUG